AUGCAUGAGAGAUACCACGGCAAAGAUCAGAUCAACACGGCAGAAAACGCUCCAGGUAUGAUGAUAAGUCAUGUUGGUCAGUCUACUGUUAAAACCACGCAUUGUGAUAUCCAGCUUAAAGAUGUUUUACAUGUUCCUGCUGCAUCAAAAAAUCUCCUUUCCGUUCAUCGCAUCACACUUGAUAAUGGUGUUUUCAUAGAAUAUCACCCAUUCUUCUUUUUGAUGAAGGAUCAGGUCACAAGGAGGGUCCUCUAUCGUGGUAAAUGUGUGCAAGGUCUCUAUCCGUUGAUUCCCAAGUUUUGCAAGUUCAAUAAACAAGUUCAUGGAGCCUUCAAGGUCUCUUCAGAACGAUGGCACAAUCGUUUAGGCCACCCAUCUUUCUCUAUUGUUUAUCAAAUUCUUAGUAAACAUAAGCUC
rnacentral:rRNA from 1 species